AGAGGCCUUUAGCCAGGCUGAGGAAUACAGGACAGAGACCGUGACUGACAAUUGCCACACGGACUUUUGAGGGGGUCGACGAUGACUUAGUCCAGAUUUGCAUGGGCCCCGAGGAUCUGAUAUUGUGGCAAACAUCCAAUUCCACGAUGGCAGGGGCUCCUCUUUACCUUCAACCAGCUGCAGGAACAGGAAACUCCCUCACAUCGAUCUGUCACUUUGUCCUGCUGAGCCAGGAACAACCUCUGUUAUAAGUAUGAAUCCCAAACAGCCUUCACAGCAGUAAUGUUUCCGUCCAAAGGAAAACUCUCAUCUCUGCUUUGCAGCAGUUUGUU